GUGGGGAAUUUUGGACAAUGGGCGAAAGCCUGAUCCAGCCAUGCCGCGUGCAGGAUGAAGGCCUUCGGGUUGUAAACUGCUUUUGUACGGAACGAAAAGACUCCUUCUAAUAAAGGGGGUCCAUGACGGUACCGUAAGAAUAAGCACCGGCUAACUACGUGCCAGCAGCCGCGGUAAUACGUAGGGUGCAAGCGUUAAUCGGAAUUACUGGGCGUAAAGCGUGCGCAGGCGGUUAUAUAAGACAGAUGUGAAAUCCCCGGGCUCAACCUGGGAACUGCAUUUGUGACUGUAUAGCUAGAGUACGGUAGAGGGGGAUGGAAUUCCGCGUGUAGCAGUGAAAUGCGUAGAUAUGCGGAGGAACACCGAUGGCGAAGGCAAUCCCCUGGACCUGUACUGACGCUCAUGCACGAAAGCGUGGGGAGCAAACAGGAUUAGAAACCCGUGUAGUCC
rnacentral:rRNA from 1 species